UACGUAGGCAGCGAGCGUUGUUCGGAAUUACUGGGCGUAAAGAGUGUGUAGGCGGUGCUCUAAGUUCGGUGUGAAAUCUCCCGGCUUAACUGGGAGGGUGCGCCGGAAACUGGAGUGCUCGAGCGUGGGAGAGGAAAGCGGAAUUCCUGGUGUAGCGGUGAAAUGCGUAGAUAUCAGGAGGAACACCUGCGGUGUAGACGGCUUUCUGGACCAGUACUGACGCUCAUGCACGAAAGCGUGGGGAGCAAACAGG
rnacentral:rRNA from 1 species